rnacentral:lncRNA from 1 species
CUGCAGGCUGUUGCGGACAGCCCAGGUGGUGCUGGUGGCACGUGCGGGCGACGAGGGCCGGCGGGGACGGCGCCGGGGAGUAGGUCACGGCCGAGGAAAAGUAGAUUGAAGCGAGAGGGUGGUUCACAGCAGUUGGCGGCUGAAGUGGUGGGUGCAAGGUGGAUGGAGAAGGCAAUAGAGGUCUUCUCCGAGGGCCGGAGCAGGUCGACAGCGGCCGGGGUAGGUGCGGCAGGGUGCUAGGCGAAGAGGAAAGCUACAUGGGCGCGGCUGAGGGAGUUAGGGCAAAGAUAAGGGUUAGG